ensembl:lncRNA
GGCAAGGCAAGAGAUGCUAAAAGAUGAUCUGAUUUAGGGCUUUGUCAAUCAGGCCUUAGUGGUUGGGAUGAUACGAGAUAGACUCGUGUAUUCCCCAAGCUGAAAUCUCUUGAGCCCAAACCACUACUGGCAGUGAAUUAACCAUCUGCUAACCGUGGUGAGGCACUGCCUGGAAGAGUGCAAGCUGAACCAGGCCAAAACCAUAUCAAAGACUGCAUCCAUAAUCUGCGGUGCAAAUGAGCAUGGACACCUCUCAGGCUCAUACCCUGACUGCUUUCUGUUCACUGGUGCACACACACAGCCAGAGCAGCCUCUGUUUGGCUUAAUGAGCAGAGGGCUCACAGGAGACCUGUGGUGGACACAACACCUGGCCCAGCUCUGUGGGCCCUUUGGACUGCAGGGACUGGAGUUUGGAGCACUGGACAAGGCACAGAGGAUCAUGAUCUGGAGGACAGUCUGCCUGCAACUACUGAACCCAUGUAUCCACAGAGCAACGUAAACCCAAACACCUUAAACAAAGAGGAAACUGGAACUGGGGCCAGUAAACAGCACGUCCAAAAGGAAGAGAGUCCUGGGAGGCAAGGAAAAUCAAAGCCGUUUUCAACUCAAGUAGUUCAUGGUGACUCCUGUCGGGUAGCAUCUUUCACAGAGCUGCAACCUGACUGACCACUGAGGGAGCCCCAGUGGCUUUGAAAUAUGGCAAUAUGGACCAGGAUUCGUAUGUCUCUACUAAGGAUCUCUGGAGGAGAGAAGUAGCAGAGCUAUGAUACAAGACCUUAUCCAGACCAACCUUCUUGAGCCACUUACAUGGCAGAUAGAAUUUACUGCCUAAACGGCCAGACCCAGAGGGUAGUGAGCAGCAGUGCAACGUCCACAUGUUCAAAUUUGAAUAAGGCAGCUAGCUUCCCAUCUCCCAGUAACCCAGCUGAGGGCUGUUUUAGUGCAGACUCCUUUGAAUGUCC